CGUCUAUAUACGUAUAGCAUAUCAAUAAGCGGAGGAAAAGAAACUAACAAGGAUUCCCUUAGUAACGGCGAGUGAAGCGGGAAGAGCUCAAAUUUGAAAUCUUCAAGGUUUACCUUGACGAAUUGUAGUUUAAAGAAGUGUUUUCUGUUGAAGUUUCGGUAAAAGUUCUUUGGAAUAGGACAUCAUAGAGGGUGAGAAUCCCGUAUUUGACCGUUACUUUCCAGCUGUGUGAUACACUUUCAAAGAGUCGGAUUGUUUGGGAAUGCAGUCCAAAAUGGGUGGUAAAUUUCAUCUAAAGCUAAAUAUUGGCGAGAGACCGAUAGCGAACAAGUACCGUGAGGGAAAGAUGAAAAGAACUUUGAAAAGAGAGUUAAACAGUACGUGAAAUUGUCAAAAGGGAAGCGUUUGACACCAGUGUUGUUUUCUCGAAAAUCAAUUAAAAAUGGCAUGAUUUUGUGUUGUAUUGACCUUCAUCAAGCUUUCUGCACUCUUUUCAUUGUCUUUUUUAAUGCACUUUUCGUUUAACAAGUCAACAUCAGUUUCUUUUGUUGUAAAAAGGGUCAUUGGAAGGUGGCUUUCAUUUUCGGUAGAAAGUGUUUAUAGCCUUUGACUUCUGCAAUCGGAGAGAUUGAGGUCUGCAGCGUAGAUCCUUCUGGGAUUAGAUACAUUUGUGCUAAGUUAUAGUUUUUCAUAGACAACAUGUUGACUAUGAUUAGUCAUGUAGCUUACUCGCUUAUGCUAAUUUUACCUACGCUUAGGAUGUUGAUCUGUAGUGCGUGCGC
rnacentral:rRNA from 1 species